GCGGGCCCCGCCCCCGACCGGCGGCGGCUGCGGCGGCCCAGCGCGGCAGUCGGCGCUGGGAAGUGGAGGCGCUGCGAGCGGAGCCGCGCGGAGGGCGGGACCGGCGGGUCCGGGCAGCGUGGGUUUGCCGCCUUCGGGGCUCCAGUCCGCGCGCCAGGGCUCGAGCAGCACCGCGGGCCCCUCAGGUGGGCCUCGGCUCGGGACGCCGGGAGUCGGGGCGCCGGGACCAUGGCGCUGCGCGCCCGGGCGCUGUACGACUUCAGGUCGGAGAACCCAGGCGAGAUCUCGCUGCGAGAGCACGAGGUGCUGAGCCUGUGCAGCGAGCAGGACAUCGAGGGCUGGCUCGAGGGGGUCAACAGCCGCGGCGACCGCGGCCUCUUCCCGGCCUCCUAUGUGCAGGUGAUCCGCGCCCCCGAGCCUGGCCCGGCGGGAGACGGCGGCCCGGGCGCCCCGGCCCGCUACGCCAAUGUGCCCCCCGGGGGCUUCGAGCCCCUGCCCGUCGCGCCCCCCGCCUCCUUCAAGCCGCCGCCUGACGCCUUCCAGCCGCUGCUGCAGCCACAGCAGGCGCCGCCUCCGAGCACCUUCCAGCCGCCCGGCGCGGGCUUCCCGUACGGCGGGGGCGCCCUGCAGCCGUCGCCUCAGCAGCUCUACGGCGGCUACCAGGCCAGCCAAGGCAGCGAUGAUGACUGGGACGACGAGUGGGACGACAGCUCCACGGUGGCGGACGAGCCGGGCGCUCUGGGCAGCGGAGCAUACCCAGACCUCGACGGCUCGUCUUCGGCGGGUGUGGGCGCAGCCGGCCGCUACCGCCUGUCCACGCGCUCCGACCUGUCCCUGGGCUCCCGCGGCGGCUCGGUCCCCCCGCAGCACCACCCGUCCGGGGCCAAGAGCUCGGCCACCGUGAGCCGCAACCUCAAUCGCUUCUCCACCUUCGUCAAGUCCGGCGGGGAGGCCUUCGUGCUGGGGGAAGCGUCAGGCUUCGUGAAGGACGGGGACAAGCUGUGCGUGGUGCUGGGGCCCUACGGCCCCGAGUGGCAGGAGAACCCCUACCCGUUCCAGUGCACCAUCGACGACCCCACCAAGCAGACCAAGUUCAAGGGCAUGAAGAGCUACAUCUCCUACAAGCUGGUGCCCACGCACACGCAGGUGCCGGUGCAUCGGCGCUACAAGCACUUCGACUGGCUGUACGCGCGCCUGGCCGAGAAGUUCCCGGUCAUCUCCGUGCCCCACCUGCCGGAGAAGCAGGCCACCGGCCGCUUCGAGGAGGACUUCAUCUCUAAGCGCAGGAAGGGCCUGAUCUGGUGGAUGAACCACAUGGCCAGCCACCCAGUGCUGGCGCAGUGCGACGUCUUCCAGCACUUCCUGACGUGCCCCAGCAGCACCGACGAGAAAGCCUGGAAGCAGGGCAAGAGGAAGGCCGAGAAAGACGAGAUGGUGGGUGCCAACUUCUUCCUGACCCUUAGCACGCCCCCCGCCGCUGCCCUUGACCUGCAGGAGGUGGAGAGCAAGAUCGACGGCUUCAAGUGCUUCACCAAGAAGAUGGACGACAGCGCGCUGCAGCUCAACCACACUGCCAACGAGUUCGCGCGCAAGCAGGUGACCGGCUUCAAAAAGGAGUAUCAGAAGGUGGGCCAGUCCUUCCGCGGCCUCAGCCAGGCCUUUGAGCUGGACCAGCAGGCCUUCUCGGUGGGCCUGAACCAGGCUAUCGCCUUCACCGGAGAUGCCUAUGACGCCAUUGGCGAGCUCUUCGCGGAGCAGCCCAGGCAGGACCUGGAUCCCGUCAUGGACCUAUUAGCGCUGUAUCAGGGGCAUCUGGCUAACUUCCCGGACAUCAUCCACGUUCAGAAAGAGACAGAUGUCUCGCUAUGUUGCCCAGCCUGGUCUCCAACUCCUGGCUUCAAGCAAUUCCUCCUGCCUCGGCCUCUCCAAGUGCUGGGAUUACAGGAAUUAGCCACCAUGCUCAUUCUCCAUUGACUAAUCUAUUAAUAGUCCUAUCUUUGGGUAAGGUCAACCAUGGAGAAAAUGCUGGAAGAGGUAAGGUCUAAAUUGGGGGAUGCGAGGAUUAUGAUGGAGGAAGGGGAACAGCAUUCCAGGGUGACAUAGUUUGGUUGUGUCCCCAUCCAAAUCUCAUCUUGAAUUGUAGUUUCCAUAAUCCCCACAUGUCAUGGGAGGGACCCAGUAGGAGGUAAUUGAAUCACAGGGGCCGUUACCCCCAUGCUGCUGUUCUCAUGAUAGUGAGUUCUCAUGAGAUCUGAUGGUUUUGCAAGGCUUUUCCCCCUUUGCUUGGCACUUCUCUCGCCUGCCGCCAUGUGAAGAAGGAUGUGUUUGCUUCCCCUUCUGCUAUGAUUGUAAGUUUCUUGAGGCCUCCCAGGCCAUGCGAAACUGUGAGUCAAUUAAACCUCUUUCUUUUACAAAUGACCCAGGCUUGGGCAGUCCUUUAUAGCAGUGUGAGAAUGGACCAAUAUACAGAGUUAGUAUUCCAGAGUAAGGUGAAGUUUCACAAAGGUAGAAAUAAGCAGAUCAAAUCCCAGCAGAGUCCCAGGUCAUGGUCUUUGGGUUCACUUAGACUUUGCCAUCCUUCACCACUUUCCAGUUGUGUCAUGCUAGACCACUUCUAGCCUGUCUCCUUGGCUACAAAAAUGGGAUCAUUAGAUCUGCCUCAUAGCAUUCCUGUGAGAAUGAAAUAAAAUAACAUGCAAUGUUAGAGUAGAUGUUAAAUAAAUGUGCAGUUUUCCUUUGGAGUAGAAAGUUACUAAAUGAAACUGGUGAGAGAAGGGGUUGAGGUUACUGGCAAAAUGAAAGGGAACCCCAAAUGUUUAAACUUUGUAUUGCUUCCUAGAAGACUAAAUUAACAUCUCCAUAUGGAAGCUUUUAGGAUUAAAAUACACCAGACAGGACAACUCAGUUAUAAUUUAAAGUGUGUGCUAAAAAAAAUCAAUAAGUAAAAAGAUAUACAUCUCAGUAGUUAAUAAAGGAGACAAGUUUUAUAGCCCCUGUUCUAUAAGCAAAGCAUAAGCAUAAUGAAUUCGAGUUUAAUAUCUGAAAAGUAGAAAAAAAAGGAAACCUUUUUCACUCUAAAAAAGCAAAACAAAACAAACCAUAUGAAAUUGCUGACCAUGGUGUAGCUAGUAAUAUUGAGCAGUAAAAAUUAUUAGGCAUAGACAGGUUUCCAUUAAUAAGCUGACACUGACACUGUGGUCUCAAAGAUUCUAAGAUAUAAGUAUAAUCAGAAAGCAGAGGUGAAAGGAAGGCCCCCGCUCCAAAGAAAAUAAAAGUUAUUGUUUAAGUUAGCAAUUUCAGAUGACAGAUGGUCCAUUAAAAAAACAACAAAGGCCAGGCACAGUGGCUCACGCCUAUAAUCCCAGCACUUUGGGAAGCUGAGGUAGGUGGAUUGCUUGAGCUCAGGAGUUUGAGACCUGCCUGGGCAACAUAGCAAAACCCCAUCUCUACAAAAAAUACAAAAAUUAGCCAAGCAUGAUGAUGCAUGCCUGUGGUCCCAACUACUCGGGAGGCUGAGGUGGGAGAAUUGCCUGAGCCAGGGGAGGUCGAGGCUGCCUUGAAUUUUGAUCACAUCACUGCACUCCAGCCUGGGUGACAGAGCAAGACCCUGUCUCAAAAAUCAGUCGUACAAACGUAAAAACCUCUCAUUUGACGUGUACUUUAUGCGUUAGGGAACAAUACACUUUGAAUACACUAUCUAUGAUUCUUUUUCUAGGUGGAGAGGAGAAGAAAGUGCAAACCAAAAAGUGACUGAGGCAGAUCUCAAUGAAUUAGAAGUUUAUUUUGCCAAGGCUGAGAACGCACCCAGGAAAAACAAACACAGCUCAUAGUAGAAUUUGUGACCUGUGCUUUUUCCAAAGAGUUUUGGGAACUUCGGUAUUUAAAAGGGAAAGAGCAAGCAGGAGGGAAGAGAAAAAAGUAAGCAAUGAGGCAAGUGGUUACAUUCUUGUGAGGUUCUGGUUAGUGCUUGGUAAAUCUACAUUUUACACAUGAGUAGAGAAAAGUCAAUUAUGCAUUCAUCUGGGGCCCAGUAAAUCUACAUUUUACAUCAGCUAAAGUAAGCAUGUGAAAUUACAGCUAUUUGUUUGGGAACAAACGGAAGGCGGUUUUUAUGUGACUCAUUUGCCAAGCUUAACUUUCUCUGGCAUAGUGAGUUUGGGGUCCUGGGAUUCUACUUUCCUUUAACAAUGGUUUUGUCCUUCAGUUUUUCACCUCUGUUUUAUAAAGAGCUCUGUCAGUUAGGGAAGCAGAUGACACAGGCAAACUGGCAUGAUUUUGCAAGGGUUUAUUUACAGAGUGACUCCUUGUGGAGCUGUGGACAUACAGGAGGCAUAAGAGAUGGUGCAUUAUCCCAGGGCAAAUAUCAGCAGAGCUGCUGUCAUCCCUGGGUCUGGAGCUUUGGGGAAGGAAGCAGCUACCAGAACCUGGAAGAAGAGUCACAUAGAGGAGGCUGCCUUGAGAGAAGAUGUCAUCUUCAACUGGGGGAUGCAGUCAGCCUGAGAAUUGGUGGCUCCCUGCUGGAACCUGAACAGACUUCUUCAGCACACCUGUGUCCCCUACACCGGAAAGUCCUUCAAGGUCGGGAGAUCUUCAACCCACAAUGUCCAACAUGGCCCCUGGGGCUGAGUGGCUGCUUAUUAAAUGCCUGUGAUUUGCCAGAAUGCUGUUUCAUUCUUUAUUGCUCACAAAGCAUUAUUGAAAACACUGUCUCACUUGAAAGGUCUUUCCUGGAGACUUGCAUCCUGGCUCUCGGGAAAGUCUCCUGAUAUCUUGCACCUCAGUGUCCCAGUCAAUCGGGGUAUGAUCACAGCUAUUAGUGGACUGAGGUCCAUGUUCUCACAGUCCUGCAGCUGCUUCUUGAAUGUGGAGAGGAGCCACCAUUUACAUAUGCUAGUGAGUUCAAGUGCUGUCAGGCAAAAUGCAAAACAUUUCAUCAUCAUUAGCCCCAACUUUGAAAGGCAAAUACACAUUUCAGUUUCCACUUUUCUGUGCACUCAGAUUCUUAUAUUGUUUGUGCAGAGUAUGCCUCACUGUAGAAGCGUUUAAAAUGAAUCUGAAUAGAUAACAAGCAUAUAACUUAAUACCUCAGAUGGAUAGUUGGAUUUCUGACCCCUGUUUGAAGCUUUAAGGCAGGUCAAGUCUACUAUGGCGUGAAUAUUAUAACCAUUGUGCCUAGGGUGCUGCAUUUACCUUGGUGAGUCUCCUUCCUACUGAAGCCAACGAAUAAUUCAAUUAAAACAUUGAUUAAGUACUUACUGUGUAUUUUCCACAGCAACUUUCACAGUGCUUUGUACAAAGUUGUUAUCUGAGUUACAGAAGGCUUGGCUUUCUCUGGAAGAGUUUGUGGAUAUCUCGUCUUUCUUAUAGAUUAGAACUGAAAGAGUAGCUUAAAUGUGACCAUUACUGACAGAGAGGAUUAGAAACUGGGAGCAUAAACAGGCAAGAUCAUGCCCAGCUGAGAGAUCAAUCCACCCUUGCAUUAUAGGAGGAAAAUUAGAUUUUCCCUUAAGAACAAGUAGGAAAUAAUAAUUAGCUGAUAUUUAUUGAGCUCUUAUCAUGUUAAACACUUUAAAGGAUUGCAGAGUCAGAUGAGUGGCGGUGAUGGGAUUUGAACCGAGAGUUUGGUGUCAGGUUCCUCUCGACUUACCCAUUGUCUAUACAACACCUGCCAGCUUCUGAUAACUGCAUCAGGUCCCACCUCUGCAGUGAACAAUUGACAAAUGUGCCCCAGCUCUGUUGUACUCAGUGCCCCUAGUCUCUGUUCUGUGAACAUGGUAGGGAAAAUUGAUGGAAGAGUCUGGAUCAGCUCUCUCUCCAAAGUUGGAAGUCCUGGACUACUUACACAGGAUGGCUUUGGGUUUGGGAGAGAAAUGGAGUAGACUUGUGUACCUGUGUGUGUGUGUGCGUGUGCAUGUGCAGAGGUGCAGGCAGGGGAGGCAAACAGGCAGGGAAACCCCUUGGAGUAUUUGCACCCUCACUGCUCUUGGAGUAUCUUCUCAUUUUGAAAGCUGACCCACCAUCUUGGCGAAAGUGCUGCUUCUGGUCUGGAUCCCUUGAUUCUACUGAGAGUGAAGUACAACCUCUGACUCUUUUGCCCUUGAACUAAAGACCUCAUGGAAGCCAGGUGUCAUGGCUCAUGCUUGUAAUCCCAGCACUUUGGGAAGCCAAGGUGGGCAGAUCACUUGAGGUCAGGAGUUCAAGACCAGCCUGGCCAACAUGGUGAAACCCUGUCUCUAGUAAAACUACAAAAAUUAGCCGGGCAUGGUGGCAUGUGCCUGUAAUCCCAGUUACUCUGGAGGCUGAGGCAGGAGAACCGCUUGAAUCCAGGAGGUAGAGGUUGCAGUGAGCCAAGAUCGCCACUGCACUCCAGCCUGGGCGACAGAGCAAGACUCAGUCAAAAAAAAAAAAAAAAAAAAAAAAAGGAGACCUCAUGGAAAGACAUGCCAGCCAACAUCUGGUGCAGGAUGCAGAGCUCAGGCUGCAAAUCUGCCACUGCAUAGUCACUGUUGAUCUCUAUUUCCAGGCACCCAGAGGAGCCCAGGUUUUCAAGCCUCUCUUCACUGAACUUGCGUCACCUACAGAGGCAAAAAUGAAUUUUAGAAAGCUGUAGAAAUUCAAAGCCAACCAUAAAAACCCAUGUCCCUGAGGGUAUUUGAAUUUAGCUUCUGAUGAAAAUAAGGCCAUUUCAAUGACAUAAUACAGCCACAUUUAUAUCAUCCUGCCAUCUCCAUUUGGAGACAGCUCAGUGCUUGUCCCCAGCCAAAACUAACAGCCGGACUUCUUUUGCAAUGUUUAGAAGGCACUCUUUUAUUUAGUGCUGAGAAAUCCUCUCUAAAGGAAUGUUUCAUAGAACUAUGCUCAACAUCCUGCUCUUUUGUAGGAAAAUAAAUCCAGGAUGGUUGCAAGGAUAAUCAAUUAUCAUAGAGUAAAAAUGCAUACUUUUAAACAAGGCUAUUGUUUCAGCAGAUGUUUAGCUUAUAUCAUUAUAAAGGCUUCAAAUAAAACAAUUUGGUAAUGCUUUUUCUUUUAACCUCUCUUUCUGUCAAUAAAUAAAUGCUGGAUAUCAUAGUCCACAUGACGAGUUUAUUCUCCUCUAUACCAAGCUGUUAUUCACGUGACUUUUAUUGAGCAUCUACUGUAUGUAGGCCUCUAUUCUGGGUACCAUGGCAAAUGUAAAGUUGAAAAAGAUAUUCUUUGCCUCUCAAGAGGAGACUGGGAAGAUAUCAUCAUAUAUGAAACAUCUCAAUGAACCAUGUGACAAUCAGUACUAGCUGAAGGAUCCCCUAGAAGUCAAGAGGAGGAAUCUUAAAGGAUGGGAAUUCAAAUGGUACCUACACUUAUUUGCAAGGCUUUCCUGAGUAGAUGUGAGAUCAGAAGAGUCAUACAUGAUUAUGUCGUACAAGUGAUUGGAGAAUGGCCACAUUCACUUUAACCAUUCCUUGUCAAUGAACGCUGAAGUCUGUUUCAGCCCCACUGCAAAACCUCAAAUUGGGCCAGAGCAGAUUACACUAAACAUUGACUCUCUUUAACAGGGACAAGGAGAACUUUACUCCCACCCCCUGCACCUCCUCUCCUGGGGAACAGAGAGGAGUUCAUCAGAGAUUUCAAGAAGCCUGGCGUGUCCUUGCCCCCACCAGCAGUCUGAUCUCCGAAAAGGUUGAGGGGUGCAUAGCAGUCUUGGGAAGAUGCUGGUUCCUGGUCCCAUAAGCAGCUGAUCUCUGAAGCCCAUUUCCCACGUGGGGUCCUGCGUUUCACCAGACAAGAACUCUGGCUCCUCUGCUACCUCUUGGGCCAUGUUUCUUUCUUAGCAUAGCUUCCCAGAGAUGUGCAGACGCCAGGGGAGUGGAUCCAGCCAAAACAUGUUCUUGGCAGAGAUGCCAAGACAGAGUCCUGAAAAACAAAGGAAGUCUAGCAGAUAACUGGCUCUUUCUGAAGGAAUCUGGAGUUUUGACUGCCCACAUUGAGCUGUUGGCACCAGCAGGAAUGGAAACUGGGCCUUGCAAACAGAGUCUCAGCUUGUCUGUGCACCAUGGUGGCCUGGACACAGUCAAAUCACAGUCUCCCACACCUCCAGCCCAGCACACACGCAGGCUGAGUGAAGGCUGCAUGCAGGACAUUGCACGGCUCCCUUUUUGUGGUGUGGUCUUUACCAGAAGCCCAGCCAAACCACUGAGAAGGGGGCAUAGACACACACCGGGAGCUGUGGGCUCCAACUACCAGCGAGGUCUGCUCCAGGCCAGGGAGGGAUGAGGGGAUUUGUUGUGAUUUCUUCACACACACACUCUUUAUAUUUAUCCAAGCCACAGAUAAGAAACAAUCCUUCUAAACCCAGGGCAGUAAUUUUUAUUUUUUUAUUUUUUUUUGAGAUGGAGUCUUGCUCUGUCGCCAGGCUGGAGUACAGUGGCGAAACCUUGCCUUACUGCAACCUCUGCCUCCCGGGGUUCAAGUGAUUCUCCUGCCUCGGCCUCCUGAGUAGCUGGGAUUACAGGCAACCGCCACCAUGCCCAGCUAAUUUUUGUAUUUUUAGUAGAGAUGGGGUUUCUCCAAGUUGGCCAGGAUGGUCUCAAUCUCUUGACCUCGUGAUCUGCCCGCCUUAGCCUCCCAAAGUGCUGGGAUUACAGGUGAGCCACUGCGCCCCGCCCAGGGCAGUAUCUCUCUGAUAUCAGAAUCAUUUGGUUUGCUCAUUAAAAAGGCAGAUUUCUGGUCUCCUCUUUCGACCUGCCUGGUGAACGUGAAUCGGAGGAUAGAAACUGAGAAUUUACACAGUUUAAGAAAUGCCUCAAGUGAGUCCUUUGUCCUAGAUCAGUGAAAUCGUAUCUCAAGCUGCAAAUAGAAAGAGCAAAGGACUGAGAAGUUUGCGUUUUGUAUCCCAAGCAGGUGGUGAUGGCAUCAUAGAAGAUAUAAAUGGAAUAUAAGACAUUCACUCACUUCCCCAAACAUACUUAGAUCCUGAGUCUUGGUUUCCGCAUUUUAAAAGGAUAGAGUUGGGUGACUGAAUGAAGCUGGAACUAAAAGUGUGCCUGGUUCUGUCUGGGUUAAACAUAGGACCCCACAAAGGAAUGGACUCCAGGAACCAGGUCCAUAUUGUAUCAGUAACAAGCUGAUAUUAGUAGCUGUAGGACAUUGGGCAAGUUACUUAACACCCCUGUGUCUCAGUUUCUCCAUCUAAAAAUGGUUAUAAUAUUAUAUACCUCAUAGGUACUAUAGGUGUAUAAUGCAUUUACAACAGUGCUGUAACAGUGUGUGGUAGAAAUACUCAACAAAUGUUACCUGUUACUAUGCAUUUUGCAUUGCACUAAUGAACUUUUGGAAGAUCUUCCAGCUUAGUGAGAGCUUAAUGGAGCUUGAACAUAAAUUUCACUUUGUGUGCUGGGAUAGUAAGCCAUGUUCUUUUAGAGUCAACACAUUUUUACUGAGGCCCUACCUUGUGCAAAGGUGCUUUGCCUUCAUGGAGCUACUCAUCUUGUUGGGAGACGCUUAUUUUAUUGUUGGCUUACUUGUCCAGAAACAUACAAAGUAUUAUGAACAAUAGAAGCAUCUGUCAGUACUUGGAAUCCUUUCUGCUUUGCUUUCAUGGCUAUAAUUUCAUUUUGACCCCAAACAACAGCCCUGAGCAAAAUGUGCAGUGCUCUGAAGAGUGGUUUUCAAUACUUAAUAUCUUAAGGAGUUUGUUGGUCCUUGGGAACUAACAAGGGUGGCAGAUGAAAUUGAUUUAAGGGUCUCCCUCCUCCCCCAUAUACACACUUUUUCCAGCCAGAAUUCCUCUCUUCUAACAUGCCUAUUGGAUUUCCUUAUAAGGCUAUGGUUGAAUCAGGGUCCUGCUGGGUGUAGAGAGUGGGGUGGAAGAAGAAUUCCAAGGUGUGGCUUUGUCCUGGGCAAGUUAGGACUUCCGAGGGACCAUGCCACAGAACUGAUACAUUCAGGAAAGAGGGGCAGAGUCUAGUGUUUGCUUCCCUUUGGGUUAUUCUCAGUGGAUAGGAGCCAGUAAACCAAACUUGUCCAACCUGUGGCCCACGGGCUGCUGCAUGCAGCCCAGGAUAGCUUUGAAUGUGGCCCAACACAAUUUCAUAAACUUUUCUAAAACAUUACGAAAUUUUUUUGCGAUUUUUUUUUCAGCUCAUCAGCGAUCCUUAGUGUUAAUGUAUUUUAUGUGUGGCCCAGGACAAUUCUUCUCCCAAUGUGGCUCAGAAAACUCAAAAGAUUGGACACGGCUGCAACAAUUUAGACCCCACUAAAAUCAUUUCUGAGCACCACACCUUCACUUACAGUUACACACAAAAACCCUGCAAAUAUGAUGUUGAAAUAGGGGAAUAACAUCCCAAAUUUUAAAAAAAUUCAUGACAAGGCUGAAAGACAUAUAAUACAUUUAUAAAUAUACACCAUUUUGGAACGUUUUUAAAAAUUGAGCGUCUUAUUCAUAAAAUAAGCAUCUUUAGGAUAAUUAAUGUUUGUCAGCAUACUUGUUUCAGUGCACUGGAAAUUAACUAACUGAAUUUCCUUUAAAAACUAAAUUUUUGUUACAAAUAGAACUACAAGCUAUUGAACUUACAAUUUUGCAAUUUUAAAGCAGCCAGAAAAUAAUUUUAUAGUGAUUCAUUUUUGAACUUUGUCUCCAGAAU